rnacentral:rRNA from 1 species
UACGUAGGGUGCGAGCGUUAAUCGGAAUUACUGGGCGUAAAGCGUGCGCAGGCGGUUCGUCGUGUCCGAUGUGAAAGCCCCGGGCUCAACCUGGGAAUGGCGUUGGAAACUGGCGGGCUUGAGUGUGGCAGAGGGGGGUGGAAUUCCGGGUGUAGUGGUGAAAUGCGUAGAUAUCCGGAGGAACACCAGUGGCGAAAGCGGCCACCUGGACUGUACCUGACGCUCAAACGCGAAAGCUAGGGGAGCGAACGGG